UGUCGGGUUUGGAAUUCAGCCACUCAGAUCAAGAAAAAAAAAAAAAGCAAAAGAAGAGAAAAGAAGGAAAAGAAGAAUCGAAGAGAGGGGAAGAUCUCGCCGAUAACCGUCGGGUUUGAAACUCAGCCACUUAGAUCAAGAUCAAAAAAAGCAAAAGAAGAGAAAAGACGGAAAAGAAGAAUAGAAAAGAGGAGAAGAUCUCGCCGAGAAUAGACCGGCCGGAAGGUCGCUGGGGUGGGAAAGAGAAAGAGGAGAGAUCCAAGAUUGUGGUGGACUUCCGGGGGAAGGUUUGAGUUUGUUUCUGGAGAGGUGGAUGCUAAAAUUUUGAUCGAGUUUGGGGGAGAGCUUUCAGCAGGAGAAGAGUGUAGAGAUGAAGAAGGGAUAUUCUUGGUAUAUUCAGUCAGUAGCUUUGAAAGCACCUGUGUAUUCAAUUGGACCAAUUUAGGAGUGGAGUGCCUUUUGUGUAAUAAAAAGUUUCUGGUCAAGUAUGAAGGAAUUCCUGGGAAUGGAGUAGCUUGAACACCGCUUAUUAUGGUGGAGUAUCAUUAAAAUGAGAUGUAUUGUUUGACAUAUAUUAUCUAGAACCCCCACUUAUUGUCAAAACAAAAAGAAAGUGAAAUGGUUAAUUGCUUUUGGGGGGUAACAAUGAAUACAGAAGUCAUUGCCUACAAUAGCUCUUUAUGUGAGUGGACAUAAUGGGGAGUGCAAUUUCUUUCUGCUGUUUCGGAUUAUAUAGUGCAAAUUGUUUCUGUUUCAUAUUUGUUAGUUGAUUACAUGGAAUAAAAACCUGUAGGCUGUAUACUGCUGGUAUUAAAAGGAAAGUCUCUGAUCCUAUGUACUGUAAAUAUUGACAUUUAGAAGAUUAACAUUUCUCUGGAAUUUUUUAUAUGUUUUUGCUUAUUUAUUUGAAUACGGUAUCAGUUUGCCACAAAGAACUAUUUGGUAGGUGGGAAUUUGAAACACCAGUUCAUCCAUAUUCUGCUUAGUGCUGCUUUCCUUAUUCUACACUCUACAUUCUAGAGUUGUAUACAGAAUUACAGUUGAAUUAAAAAUGGGUUCAUAAACACACUCAGUUGAACAAGUCAAAGAUAAUAAUCUAUGGCAUUCUGUACAUACUAGAACUCUCUAUUUUUACUUAAAUACUGAGACCAAGAGAAGGAAAUACAUUCAUGACCCUUAUAUAUACCAUAGACUUCCAUGUCAUCAAAAGAAAAGAAAAAGAAAAAAAAACACUUCCAUGUGCUAAACUAAUUAAUAACAUCAGCUUGGAUAAUGAGGUUAAUAUAAAAGUUUCCCUUGGAUUUUUAAACUAUUGUUAGUCAUUUCAUGAUAUUAAUUAUAUCUAUUUUGCUUUCCGAGCUUAAUAAUGCUCCUGUUGUGCUGAGAGGAUUUGAAUUUAGCAAACUUCAGGAAAACUAUCAGCAAGUUUGUUGAUUGAUUGAACCAAAGUAUAGAAAUAGGCAAUUCAUUAGUCCUUGAAAUGAAGGUGCGGACUGUUGAUAGAAGUUGAGUCUCACUUUUGGCAUUUCUCUAUCAGAUGACAUCUAUCAAUGGAAACCGGGAACUAGGAGUAUAACACUCGCUGUAUUUUCUCAAUUGCUGCGAUUCUCUAAGAUUCUCAACUUUCCGGUCUCAAUUUAUCAAACAAUGAGGAUUGGUUUGUGCUUCAGUCUAAGGCAAUGAGAAUGAGCAAAGGGUGACAAGUUGUUGGCGUCGCAAAAUGCAGAGAGCCAUCAGAGGACGACAAAGUUACUAGAUGAAGAAAUUGAAGAGGACGAGAUGUUCUGGAAUCAGGAGGCUCUUAAAGAGGAGGAAGAAGAUGAUAACUAUGAAGUGGAGCUGAAAGUUGUUGAUUUGUUUGAUAAUGACUUGGUUAAAGAUUUCCUAAGCUGGAUUGAGCGAUGCUGUGAUUUGGUGUUGAAGCAUCUUUCAGUCAUCCAGAAACAAAGAUGCUGAUGAAAAAAGUUGAUGCAUUGAUGAAAGCCAUGGAGCAGAGUCUGAAAAUAAAGAGAGAAACCGUAGCUAAAGAUAAAGAAGCUGCAGCAGCCAAGGUGGAUGCUGACAAAAAGAACAGAAUUAUAAACUCAUCUAAGAGGUUCUAAUUACUUUUCAACAGCCUCAAUACCAUUCUUUCCUUUUGUAUGAUGCUUCUGUAGCAGCAUCCCUUUCAAAUAUUAAAAUUUUUCAGAUCUGAUCACCUGAAUAUAUGAUUGAUUUUAUGGUUUACUUCUAAUUGCUGGGGGUAACAAAAGCAUCUUCAAUGUUUGGUUACACGAGAUUUAUUGAAGAUAAUGUGGAGAUUUAGUCUUUAUGAGCAAUGUGUCCUAUUAUGAUCAUACGACAAUAAUUCCCGCAGCAAAGUUUCAGCUUAAUGACAAAUUUAAACCCAGUUCGUUUUUCUGUCCAAGUUUAUGUACAAAAUUUGGGUUCCUGUUUCUUUAAAGUUUUAUUUUGGGUUCUGAUUCUGCGUCAUUUUGAUGCGUCAAAUCUGAUAUAACUCCCCUAGGUCCACUCCUUGAUAAGACUGAACGUUAUUUCACCAAGGUAAACUCAACCUCCUGUGCAAAAAAUUUAAGUUCAUGUAUUUUGAUUAUCGAUCUCUGCAUUCUUCCGUGACUACAAAGGAACUCCAUAAGAAAGCUGACUGGUAAGAUGUCUUCUAAUAUUUAUUUAUUAUCUGCUUUGCCUACAUUUUAGAUAAUAAGCUUCUGAUAGAACACUUGGAAAUGAAGCGUACUGUUGAAAGGCCAACUGUCGACAACCUUAUCUGGUUUGCUCACAUUUUAGAAAGAUAUGAGAAGUUGAAGUUGGAGAUUGUGAAUAGAAAGAGCGAGAAUGAAAAUUUAAGGCAGAAUUCAUCGACCAAAUUAAGAGACCAGCUAUUGACCAGCAUUGCUCUUCAGCAAGCAACACCAACACCGACUGAACAUUGUAUUCAAUUUAUAGCUUCAUUAAAGUACAUACAUCAAGUUUGAUCUGAAAUUCUCAGUUUUGUAUCAAUCACAUUAUCAUCUAUUAAACCAGUUCCCGCGCAAGCCGCGGGCAACUAUUGCUCGUAUAAAAGUAAAAUGAGAAUGGUACUGUUCAAUGAAUAGUACUACAGUGACCUGCCCGUUUUGCCCCUGCAUUCUCUUUGCCUUUUUACCUGAUUGCCCCGACAGGUGUACGUCUUCAUUGGCUUCCGAGGCUUUCCGCGUGGCUCUGUUUCCUUGCUCCACGAAGAGAGAACAAUGAAAGAAAAAUCAACAACUGAAAUCGUGCCGGACACCACUACGAAGCUGAAUUCCAGAUUAGAUGAGUAGAAAAUCUGCAGAAGAGAGAGUGAGAGAUAGAGAGGUGAUAUUCAGGAAAGAUAGAGAAUUCUUGCCAUUCUUCUUUUAUGUGUGUAUAACCAAAAAAACAAAAAGGAAAGAAAGGAGCCCUCCAGCUCGAUCUCUCUCUCUUGGCCAUCGUCCGGAGCUCCGCCUCCACUCACCCAGCCAACAACUUCCGGGAGUUAUAUCAUCCAUGCAUGCUGCUUAAUCGAGGCCGCCUAAAAAAAAACACCAUCAAAUUGGCUCUAAUUUCUGGUGAAAUUGUCUGCCAGUGGUAAGGGAAGCUGAUUUGGUCAAGUGGAUUUUCUACUUUCUGGGAUUUUUUUGACACACAACAAAAGAGAGGAGACGAGAUGAGGGACAAGGGGACUGGAAGAGUAUGAAUCUGGGUAUUUGACUGUUCAAUGCUCUGCUCAUUGAAAUAUACCAAAUUUGUGGGAAUUUGAAUGUUCAAGUGAAUUGUUUUGUUUUGUAUUUUCAUUGUCUUCCCUUAAUUUUAUAUCACUUUCUGAGAAAGUUUGAAAAUUUAGAGUUCUGGGUUGAAUUCAUACGAAUUCUGAAUUUGAAUUCGAUAUCUUAAUGCAUGUGGUUUUUGAUUCUUGCUC